AGUGAACGCUGGCUGUAGGCCUAACACAUGCAAGUCGAACGGCAGCACAGUAAGAGCUUGCUCUUACGGGUGGCGAGUGGCGGACGGGUGAGGAAUACAUCGGAAUCUACUUUUUCGUGGGGGAUAAUGUAGGGAAACUUACGCUAAUACCGCAUACGACCUACGGGUGAAAGCAGGGGAUCUUCGGACCUUGCGCGAUUGAAUGAGCCGAUGUCGGAUUAGCUAGUUGGCGGGGUAAAGGCCCACCAAGGCGACGAUCCGUAGCUGGUCUGAGAGGAUGAUCAGCCACACUGGAACUGAGACACGGUCCAGACUCCUACGGGAGGCGGCAGUGGGGAAUAUUGGACAAUGGGCGCAAGCCUGAUCCAGCCAUACCGCGUGGGUGAAGAAGGCCUUCGGGUUGUAAAGCCCUUUUGUUGGGAAAGAAAAGCAGCAGGUUAAUACCCCGCUGUUCUGACGGUACCCAAAGAAUAAGCACCGGCUAACUUCGUG
rnacentral:rRNA from 1 species